UCAAACUUGGUCAUUUAGAGGAAGUAAAAGUCGUAACAAGGUCUCCGUUGGUGAACCAGCGGAGGGAUCAUUACAGAGUUGCAAAACUCCCAAACCCUUUGUGAACUUACCUAUCGUUGCUUCGGCAGGCAGCCCCAGGGCGGGGCUGUGGCCUUUCAGGUGCCUGCCGGAGGUUUUAAACUCUGUAUUUAUUACUGGUCUUCUGAGUAAAAAAACAUAAAUAAGUCAAAACUUUCAGCAACGGAUCUCUUGGUUCUGGCAUCGAUGAAGAACGCAGC
rnacentral:misc_RNA from 1 species